UACGGGGGGGGCAAGCGUUGUUCGGAAUUACUGGGCGUAAAGGGCUCGUAGGCGGCCAACUAAGUCGGAUGUGAAAUCCCCAGGCUUAACCUGGGAACUGCAUCCGAUACUGGAUGGCUUGAAUCCGGGAGAGGGAUGCAGAAUUCCAGGUGUAGCGGUGAAAUGCGUAGAGAUCGGGAGGAACACCCGUGGCGAAGGCGGCCAGCUGGGAUACACCUGACACUGAGGCGCGAAGGCGUGGGGAGCGAACGGG
rnacentral:rRNA from 1 species